rnacentral:lncRNA from 1 species
CCGGUAUUACUGCUGCUGGAGUAGCCACGGUGAUCACAAGCUGCACAAAUAUGAAGAAAGUUCUUGUUGAGAAAUGGAAAGUGAGCCCAAGGACCAAAAGGAGAGCAGGAUCGAUUAUCUCCUAUCUCUGUGUUGAUCUGUAGAUCUCCUUACACUUGUUACUAUACUUCUUGCAGCCCCAAUCAACAGCAGCAGGUUAAAGCAGACUAUCCCUUUUAAUAGCCAGUUUAAGAUAAAAAUUGCCCCGGCACACAGAAGGCGCCUAAUGUCGUGACAGUUUGUCUUUUACUUUCUCAUGUGUAAUGUUUUUUCAGUGUUUUUUUUUUCUUCAAAUCUCACAGGAAUGUGUUUGUUGAUUGACUUAUUGUAGAAAGUUCAUUCCGUCUCUUGUUAUUUUAUUUGCUUAUUCUAUUCAAGGUAUGGGGUGGGUCUGCGGUUUGUUCCCUUCAGAUGUGUAUGGUCAAGGCAGCCAUGCUUGUGCUAUGCUUUUGCAAGGGUAUGCUGUGGAUCCAUUAUCUCCUAUCUCUGUGUUGAUCUGUAGAUCUCUUUACACUUGUUACUACUCUACUUCUUGCACCAAUCAACAGCAGCAGGGUUAAAACAGACUAUCCCUGUGAAUAGCCAGUUUAAGGUACAAAUGCCCUGACACACAGAAGGGCCUAAUGUCGUGACAGUUUGUCUUUUACUUUCUCAUGUGUAAUGUCUUUUCAGUGUUUUUUUUCCAAAUCUCACAGGCAUGUGUUUGUUGAUUAACUUAUUGUAGAAUCCAUCUCUUGUUAUUUUAUUUGCUUAUUCUAUUCAAGGUAUGGGGUGGGUGUGCGGCCUGUUCCCUUCAGAUGUGUAGGAUAAAAUGGUCAAGGCAGCCAUGCUUGUGCUUUGCUUUUUCAAGGGUAUGCUGCUGCUACAGCCCAUUUUUGUCUUAUGGGUCUUUCUGGCAUUCACAUAGAUUAAGUGCAGAGGUGCAGUACGGAAUGCAUAAUGUAGAUGUUGCUUUGAAGUGGAAGAAGCUGAUAUGGGAGCACAUUCUGAAACAACUCUUCCAUGUUUCGACAGUAGAUGUUCUGUUCUGUUCUGUUCGAAGCAGCUCUAGAAUUAAAUUUGGCAGAGAUUGGACCACUAUGAGCAAUUCUUUUAUGAUCGUGUGCAUUCAUGUUAGAGUCACAAGGUAUGCACUUCUUUUAGAGGAAAAGGUUACAAGAAAAUGCAGUUAGAAUCGUAGUUGUUACAUGAAUCUCUACCAAAGGAACAACUUGAAAGGAGUAUGGUUUUCUGGUAAAAGUUCCUUUUUACAUGUAAUUUGUCAAAGGAUUUUAUAUCAAGUAUUUGCUGGCGGAAAGAAUUUUUAAACUAACAAUUUGUGCUAACACGUAGUACGUCUGUUUCCAUCUUUCCAGAUGACUUUUUUUUUUCUUUUUUUUUUUUGGGUGUAAUUGACCCUGAAGUGAUUGAAUUAUGUAUAAAGUAUUUUAUAGUCAAGAGUACAUAAAUUAAAUCAUUGGGAAUUUGAAUAACUCUCUUAUUUUCACUUGCACACUUAAACAUAGUUAAUCACAUUCCACAUAGCAUAGCAUACCUUUAGUGUUGGAAAUAGUCUUAGGAUGAAAAUCAUCAAUAGAGUCGUGCCGAAGCUUUGAGAUAGAGUCCAUUGAAAUUUAAAAAACCAUAAUUUCACCUGUACCAAAGCUUGACGUACUCCGUGAAUAAAUUGGGUGGGCAUGUCAAGUUUCUUGGCCAAAAAUAAGCAAACACCAAACUAGUAUAAGUUUUUCUCAUUUCAGCUAUUAAACUUUGUAGAAUCUAAACUUACAAGAGGCCCACUUGAACCAAUUUAUUUAACGAUAAUCACUUGUGCAACAAGUCGAAUACAAAUAAGUGGCUAUUUCUUGGAAUUUUUUAAAUAAAGCGUGACAUUAUAUGACAUCGCUACAUGCGUUUACCUAACAUUUUCGUAUCUUUUCGGCCAAAAAGAAAAACAAUAAAGACUCUCCGUAUUGCGCCUGACCAUAAAUAGUCGAUUAAUUAGUCAAUGUUAAUCCUAUUUUUAAUAUAUGGGGUUCAACAAAUUGCCAAGCAAUUAGACUCACCUUAUUACUAACCAUAGCUCAGAUUUGGUCAAAAAGUACUGAAAAAGAGCAAAAAGGUGAAAUUCUUUUAAGUAGCUCAGCCGAAAACACUGUAAGAAAAAUGGAAAUUUGUGGACAUGCAAAUCACCUUAAAACUUACUAAUCUGGAUUUGUUUAAGGAAAGUAUGAUCAUUAUUUUCUAUGUAAUUAGAAUCUAAUAACCUCAAGCAUGCUAAGCACAAAUUAGAAUAAGCAUGUUUAAGAGUUCCAAGAUGUCGUCUAUUAUGCUAUACAAGAGAUCAGAAUGAUUUGAGUGUAAGGUUGAACCAGACAUCGAGAGAUUUGCUUCAGCUUUGUGGCAGGGCUCGAGGAGAUAUACAUUGAGGAACAGUCAUGUGACUAUAGACAAAUAUAGCAUUUUUAAGUACUACUUACACAAUAAUACUGAAUAACUAAUUCAUAUAUGAAAAUAUAUUGUUCACGUAGAGUAUGAUGUGUUUUUCUGUGGGGACAGUAACAGAGGCUGCCGGGCAGCGUAGACUUCCAAUAUUAUAUUUCUAACAACAAUAAUAGAUUACUUACUUGAAAGGUCCUAACAUGUCUUUGCUUGCUUUCGAUUAUUCUUCCACGUUUCUAACAAUCAUAGCUAUUGUUAUAAGUAAAGAAUAUGGGCUCUAAUUUUAAUAAUCUGUUAAAUGCGUAGUUCCAGAUCCCACUUUCAAUCGAAAGGUUGUGAGUUCGAAUCUCCCAAGAGCAAGGUGGAAGUUCUUGGAGGGAAGGAUGCCGGGGGUCUAUUUGGAAACAGCCUCUCCAUCCAAGAGUAGUGGUAAGGUCUGCGUACAUACUACUCUCCUCAGACCCACUAAGUGAGAUUAUACUGGAUUGUUGUUGUUGUUAAAUGCGUAGUUCAACAACUUCAAAGUUCAUAUCCUAUAGUAUGCACAGUAUAUGAAAGCAACUUCCUAGGGAAGCGAGGAGAAGCUAGUAUUUGAAUUUGAUUGGCUCAAAGUUUUAGUUCUUAUAAGUCGCUAAAUUCUAUAUUAAUAAAUAAUACAUAUUUUAUAAUUUUCUUAACAUGAAUAUAAAUUUUGGAUCAAAGUUACUGAGUUCGAUCUAAUAUUGGAGCGAGCGAGGAGAAGUGUAGGAAAUUGGGCAGCCAGGGGAUCAGUUGUAUUUUGGUAACUAAUAGCUUGUUUGAUCAAGCUUUUAAAAUCAAAUUAUUUUGAAAUGUGAUUUUCUUAAAAGUGCUUUCAAAAAAAAUACUUUUGGCGUAAAGCAUUUUGUGUUUAGCUAAUCACACUAAAAAAAAUAUUUUUGACCAGUAAUUUGUAUAUGUCCAAGCUUUUAAAAAAUACUUUUAAAUGUAUUUUUCUCACAAAUACUUUUUGAUAAAAUGCUUCUGAGGAAAAACUAGUAAUUAGUUUUUCUGCUUCUACUUAAAACUACGUUUUUUCCUUUUAAAAAUUUAACGAAAUACUAUUUUAGAAAGAAAAAAAAAUUACUUUUUCGAAAAAGAAAAUUAGCCAAACAGGCUAUAAGGUUGAAAGCGAACGGUGAACUAAUCUUAUUUGCCCAUGCCAAUGCAAAGAGUGGUGGGCACCACACAUUUGCACAAAAUUUGCGCGCAUGGAACAGUGGUACUCAUAAAAUGCUGAUGCUUGCUCCUUAUACUAGUGCUCAAAUAUCACAUUGACCCAAUAGCUAUAUUUUUAUAAUAUUAUGCCAAAUAUAUGUUAUUAUACAUUGAGAUGUGGAAAUUUGCGCGUGCAAGCAUGUAGCUACAUAUGGCGGCUAAAAGUCACAUCGUAACCCCCUCUCUCAACUUAUGUAAUUGUCUCCCUAUCCAUUAAACAUAUGGCCCCAAAAUAGUGAAUAUGCUCCUUGUCAAAGGUAAUCUUCAAGAAACUUUGAAUUAGGCUUCCCCCUUUGGUGGGGUUUUUUUUAGUGUCUUCGGGUUAAGACACAAUAUGUUAGAUGAUGUUCCAUUAUACUUGGUACCAUGUACAGUGGUUGUCGGAUUAGACAAUUUCAUUUAAUCCCCCUUUUAGUGGGUCCUCAUCAUGGCUUUGGAAGAUAUCAUUUUGGUGUGUUAAGAGAAAAUUGAAAAACAUAUCAUAGUUAACCUAAAUAGUUGCCCCACUAAUCUCUUGAACUAAAAAUAGACGGUAAAUAUAUAAUAUGUAUAAUUCAUAUAUAAUAUCUAUAUAAUUAUGUUUAAUCAUUAUAUAAUAUAUAUACCAGUUAAAAAAGUAAAUAUUAAAUAUGGCUGGCUAUUUGUGUAACAAUCUCAAAAAUAUACUCAACACUUUUACAAUUAAAAAAGGGUCAGGAGUGAGUCCAGAUGCGGAUUUUAAAAUUUAAAUUUUAUGUGUUAAAUAUUUAAGCAUACUCGUUGUAUUUUUGAAGUACGAUUCAUAUAUUUCUUUUAAUUUCGAAAAACGUCCUGUCUUAAAAUUAUAGGGUUAACUAUACUCACCCCUAUAAGGCUACAUCCACCAUUAGGAGUGGUUAUACCUUUUGAUGUGAAAGUUUGAUGAGUUGGUUUUGAUACUUUUCAAGAAAGAUGUGGAUUUCGCUUAACUUUAUUAAAUUUCUUCUUCUCCUCUUGUACAUGUCCUACUUACGAAGUUGGACAUAGUUGACCAUCACUUAUCACAUGUUUAGCGAUUGCAUUCUCAACUAGCUCAGAUAAGUACAGAUCAUACUGAUAAACUCUAGUUAAUGCCCAAUUGAAAGGAAACCACUUAAGUAGAUUAGCGGAGUAUUUCGAUCUGGCAAGAAUGGAUCCAUUUUACCUAGAAGCUAUUGAAAAUUAAUUUGUUAAACAAAGAAUUUGAGACAUAAGAAUCUACUGUUUGUGCAUAAAUAAACCUAACUAAGCUCAUUAUAUAUGUUUCAAUGAGUAAUAAUUCAAUUUAUACGGGAUUUAAAAGAUACGUUAUUUAAUUCGACACGAAUGAUCUAAGAAUAACAAAUAAUGAAUUGAAGAAAAAUAAAACGAUCAAACCAAAUACGAUGGAUGAUUAAGCUUGGCUUUACGAAGAACACCGCAAGUUGGUUGCGAUUAAGCCCUCGAAACAUGCUCGGUUGUAUUAAAUAAAUAAGCAGUGCUAAGAACACCUUGACCAGUAAUUAGAGAACAAAAAUUGACUUUAUUGCUUUGAUAUGCAUGCCAAUAGUGGUCCUUAAAAUAAAAAGUUCUCUCCUUUAUAUAGUAGAAGAUUUUUAAUCCUAGUACAAGUCUAAAUAACAUAAAAAUCUUUUUCUUCUUGUAAACUGUAAUAGGCCGUUGAUACUGGGGGAGAUUAGCGCCGUAAUGUGCAGUUAAGGGUGGAUAUUUCGGCCCCUCAUUUGUCUUUUCCAAAUGGAUUUCACCUAAUCUCGGUCCUUUAUUUUGUUCGAACUCGAUUAUUCCCACAUUUGGCCGUGUCCGGUUCUUGGCGCAUCGUUCAUCCUCCCCGGGCUAUGAUAUGUGGGAGCCCUCGGCUUUAUCCAAGGUCAUAUCAGAUCAUACCUCCCAUUCUUUUACUAGGAAAUCAUGGGUAGCUUUAUUCCAUAUUUUAACCAUACGCAGAUAGUCCCCUUACUUUUUUGAGAACAGAUUUGUAGGAACGAUGAGAAGUGAUUAACUGAUCGCAGUUCCUUCUUCCGUAUGCCGCAGCGAGGUGACAAGUCAGUGAAAUGUCUCACCAGUCGUGUUGUUCUGACCUCCGACACAUGUCAGCCGGCGGUUGACCAUCCUUGGUGGGUAUCAAAUGAGGAACAUCAUGCAUUCAUUAUUUCCCUCCUAUAAAGCUCCGGUUUCUUUUUUUCGCUUUUUUACUUUUCAUUUCGAACCUUCUUAAGUUACCUUCAAAUUUUUUACUUGUUCACCAUUCCCUCAAAUCUUCACAAAUUGUUCUUCACAUAUUCAUUUCGUCAUGUUCAAUGUUCAAAUCUUCAUAUUUCGCCUUUAAAUCUUCAAGAUAGACCUUCAAAUCUUCAUAUUCCUAGAUAAAGAUGGCAAAAAUCUCAAAAUCAGUGCCUCAAAAUACUGCUCAUUCAACCUCUACCGGGGCCGCAGACACCGAAGCAUCCCUUUCAGUAGUAGCCGUUGAACCUCCUCUUAAAAGUUUUAUCUCCAGAGGCUGCUAAAUGACGACUUUAAGGUCAAAAAAGCCUCCAAACAAAGAGAUCGAGAUGAGGAGGCGUACAGGUAAAUCUGCUCCAUCACCAAUGACACGCUCCCAACGGUCCGGAAGGAUUGCAUGUAGGAAGUCAAGGAAGUAGUCAUCCCCGGUCCUGAUGAGGACAUCACAACACACGUGGAGGGGCACUUAAGUAUUUAUAUGUACCAUUUCACGCUUGGCCUGAUGAACACUAGGGUCCUCGACUUUUGUAAAAGGUACGAGGUCUGCCUCGGGCCGAUCCAUCCGUCCUUUUGGAGGAUUGUGACCCUUCUACACCAUCUUCCAACAGCACGAAGGAGCCCGGCCUCACGAUCGAUCAUCUGCUUUUAUCUACAAACCCCCAAACUUCUGAGGGAAGUUAUCAAGCUUUCCCGACGGGCAAAGAAGGCUCCAGUCUCGAGCAUCGACGAGGACAAAGAUCGAGGCUAGUAGGGGAGGCUUGUUUGGAUAAAGACCAAAGAUCUCAUUCCCUCUGAGUUCCUGUCAUUCCCUGAGAAGUGGAAUUCAACACAUAAGUUCAUGCCCUUUAAAGUUGUCAAAAUGACCCUUUCAAUUUACUUCUCUUUCUUAUCAUCCGUCUUUUCUGAUAUGUUAUUGUCACACGAGUCCCUAAUGCAGUCCCUCAUUUCAGGUAGUGGAUCGAGGCUAUAUGAAAAAAAUUAACAUACUCCAAGCGCGAAUGGCACAAACUUUCUAAAAGCAAAUGGGAGGCUCUCUCCCAUAGUGAGUUCCAUUCUUUUCCCGAUUGAAUUUCCUUUUUAUUUUAUCGUCAUUUCUCUAUGUCCCUCUUUCUUUUCACAGGUUCUCCCAAGACCAGUGAGCUUCGGGCAAUUACCAAGGCCGUGGCCUCAUUUCUAUCUGCAAAACUCUUUACUUCGGUAUAACCUACUACUGAGGCUGUUGUGAAGAAGGACGAGAAAACAAGAAAGCAGAAAAGGUACCCUAAUCCCUUCGGACACUCCCGCUGAGGCCAAGAAAAAGAGGAUCGUGGUCAGGGUCAGAAAGAGUACCAAGAAAAGGACUCAAGGCAAGGUCCCAGAACCCCGAUUCUCUCUACUGGAUCAGGGACUAACCCGAAUAUGAUGACAUGGAGUUUUUCCAUGGGCCAACCGACACUGUACCAGAGUUGGCAGUGUCGAAGGGCGGUGACCGUAAGGCUGAACCCUCUUCAGCUAGAGCCCGAGGAACAGCCUAUGGCCACUGCCCCUCAAGAAGAUACUCCAGUACUGAGAGAAGCUAUCCAUGUCAUUGAUGUCUCAGAGUCACCAUCUCACACGGAGCCUCUUUUCGAUGAGUCUCAAGCCAUUAACAAAAGCCGACCGAGGCAUCACGAACCGCAAAUGAAGCUCAAUUUGUUUUUUCGAAGGUGUGGAUGUUGGCGUGCUGGAAGACUACUCCAGUUUUGACUGCCUAGAAAUCCUGAAGAGGGAUGUGCUACCGGGGUCAAGCGCGCCGAGUUCGAUCCCAAAGCUUGUGAAGAAUUUUACCGCCCCGAGUGCAGAUCAUGACUGUUAAGAGAUGGUCAUGUUUAUGGUACUGGCAGAUACCAAGACACUAUCCGGGCCAGUCGGUGUGGCCAGUUACCUUCUCUCCUUAUUAACCGAAGAGGACCAACUAAAUAUGAAUAAGAUAGACACGUCGAGCCUCUUCAACGAGGAAUAACAGGCGUUGAACAAGGUAUGUUUUCUUUUUCUCAUAUCUUUAAAGAGUUCAUUUUCCUUAGCCGAUUUUAAUUAUUUUCCCCUUUUAUAUGCCUCAGGCCUCGGUGCUUCAUCAUGACUAAAACUUUCACUGGUCUCGGAUGGAGGUGAGUCAUUUUGAGUUCAAGCUCAAGGAGCAGGUUCGAAAAAAUGACAUGUACAAAGAUGUUUGUGAGCAAAAAGAUGAGGUCAUCAGGGACCACUUUGUCCUCCAACUCACUGGAAAGAUCGCAAAAUGAUGCAUUAAAGGUGAAACAAGAACAUGCCUUCUGGUUGAAAAGGUAAUAGGGUUUGAGAUUAAUAAUGAGAGGUUAAGCGCAAAUUCUAACACCGCAAUCUCGUAGGUCCAAGGAAAGAUAGACCUAAUCGACCAUCUUAGGGUCGAGAUGGAUAAGGUCAAAGCCUCACUCGAGUAGUUGAGGAGAAAAAUGGAUAUCCUGGCCUCAGAACAAGAUGUUGUAAAGACCCGUAAAAAAUUUCCUGCUUAAAAUAAUGUCGGGUAGGUCCAUGUGUUGUUCUAAAUGUAGAAAAGUACCCCAGAAUUUGAAAGAUAAAUUUUCCAUAAAUUGGGAGUUAUGUGAUGCACUAUGCGAUCACUUAACGAGUAUGCGGACCACAUAAUGGUGGCAUAACGAGUAUGCGGACCACAUAAUGGUCGCAUACCUGGGUAGGCCACUGCCCAAUUGGAGGACAACUAUGCGGUCUAGAAUGCGAUCACAUUUUGGUUAUGCGGACUACACAGUUAUCGCAUUUUUUCCCGUUGAAUUUUGGUGAGAGAUGUUAUGCGACGCACUAUGCAAUCACAUAUCGUGUAUGCGGGCUGCAUAAUGGCCGCAUACCUGCUCAGUGUGUUUUGAUUUUGGCCCAUUUUUGAGGGCCAAUCUACGACCGAUCUGCGGACCGCAUUCCAUGUUGGGGCUCCUAUUUUUCUAAUUUUCAACCCGACCCCUUAUUCACUUAAAUACCCCAACCCUUCAUUUUAACACAUUUUCUAAACAAAACUAGAGAGAGGAAAGAGAGGAUUCUUGAGAGAGAAAGUCUCAUCUCUAUUAAUUUGAUAUUUCAAAGUCACCUAGGCCGAAAAUUUUGAGUAAUUAUUUUCUUCUUCGUUCUUGCAGGUAAAAUCCCCAACCCUUUUUCAUUGGUUUUAAGAUUUAAACAAAAAGGGCCUUUUUCAUGAAUAGCUUCUUGAAAAUAUAAGUUGAACCAUGCAUGCAUGUUCUUUAAUACCUAAAAUCUAGUAAGAGGAAUUGAGUAGGAGUAAAGAUCUGCAAAAAGAAGGGGUUGGUAAUCUAAGUGAGUUCGGGUUGCAUUUGUAAAUUUCAACUCUAAGAUAUAUGUAUUAACUUAUGAACUAGACUGACGGUACUAUGAAUUUGGUGAAUUGAGAGUUGAAGUUAAAAAGGAAAUUUAACUCCAGGUAUGUAUGGAUAACUUUAACCUUUGUAAAGUUACCCUGGUUAGGGUAUGAGUAAUUGGUAUGUAUUACUUAUGUGGACUAUGUGUGAGUAUUGGUUGUUUCACGGGUGUUGAGGCAAGAUGGCCUAUUUUAUGAAUUCUUGUGAUUUAUAUGCCUUGAACAUUGUUGGUUAUAUGAAUAAAUGACAACAAAUCAAGUGUGUGUGUGAAUGUGUUUAUGUGGUAAGGGCUGUGUAAUAAAUGAUGGAAAGAAGUCAUAAUUGAUGCAGUUGAAACAACACUGGUAAUAUCAUGUGUGGCUUGUCAUGGGCAAUUAUCGGUGUGACUUAAAUUGUAUACGAGUUGUUGGAUAUGAUGGAAAUGGUAAUGAGGUUAAUGAAAUCUCAUUGUGAAAUUGAUAUUGUUGUUGUGAAAUGAUAUUCUGGAUGGCUUGAAGCCAUGUGAUUGAACUGUGAACUAUUGUUAUUAUGUGAAAUGUGAUUGUCCGGUGAAAUUAGGGUGCACGCUUCAACACAAAAUGAUAAAUUGUGGGUUGGGUGAUAAAGGUGGAUGUUGUGUGAAAUGUAAUUGUCCGGUGAGAUCGGGUUGUGCUCUUCAACACAAAGUUAUAAGGUGUGCAUUGUGGUGAUAAGGGUGGAAUGUGAUCAUUAUCACAAUUGAAAUGAAAGUUUGUGAAAUCAUUGAUAUGAUGAAAUGAUGAUGAAAGGGGAAAAUGAGAGACUGUGAAACUUGUUAGCUUUGGUUGUUCCUUUCAUGUGCAUUUGAUUGUUAAUUCUAUUACUGUUUGCUAUAUGUGUAUUGAUUGAUUUUACUUGGGGCAAAGUUUUUUCAUACAUACCAGUACAAUUCAAAUGUACUAACGUCCCUUUUGCGAGGGUGCUACAUUUUUGUUAUGAUUGUAGGUGGUUUUAUAGCAGGUACUCCAGUCUACUGACAGUAGCACUCCUCCACUUUCCGUCAGCUGUAUGGGUGAGCCUCUUUCCUCUUGGUGCCCUGCGUGGCUCAUGCCUCUUUUCUUCUCGAAAUCUUAUUUUGGUAUUUGUGUAAGGUAUAGCCAGAGCCUUGUUACUAGCAAGUAUUGUAACACUCUUCUGUAUCCCUAGAGGCUCCAUAGACAGGAAACAUGGGUUAUGUACUUAUGUAUCUGGACAGUAUAACUUGUAGAUCAUGUAAAAUAAUCAUGUAUGUUAUUAUAUCCCGUAAGAGGGUGUUUAAUUAUAAAUGGAUAUUUCACUUGAAUAAUGAGUAUUGAAAUCACGGGGUAACACGUGGGAUAGAAAAGGCACCCAGGUCCGCUUGACGAGGGCUACCCGAUCAAGCGCCAGUCGCGUCCCUCGAUUUUGGGGUGUGACAAAACUUGGUAUCAGAGCCUAAGGUUCUAAAAGGGUCCUAGGAUGUCUCAAAGCCGUAUCUAGUAGAGUCCUUCUUAUCGGUGUGUUGUCGACCAUAUCUAUAAGUUGGAAGCUACAUGGGCAUUUAGGAAUGUUACCCUUCUUCAACACUCCAGGUAGGGCGAUAAAGGUUGACUAUAAGAUUGUUCUCUAACUCGUGCAUUAAGAUUCAAGGUAAGUUUAAACGCUCUUCUGUCUAUUUCAAGUAAUGUUUUCAUAUGAUAGGGCGAAUGGGCAAAGACUUGGAUAUUAAGGAGAUGGAACAUAUAUCUUGUUAAACGAAUGGUAUGGCAUAUAGUAUAAGGAAAUAGUACCAUAAGUAUAAUUUAUUUGAGAAAAUUGUUAAAAGUGAUUACCCGCCCAAAGGGGCAUUGAUCUGAUAAAUGAGAUGCGAGCUCGAAUAGCACACAUGGAUAGUGCGAGAAACAUGUAUAUGGUCCGAAGGUGACUAUCUCCUAGGAAGACUGUGGAUUCACGCAGCAGGAGCUGUGCCUUCUACUCUGCACCAAAUGCUGAAAUUUGAACAUGAGAACCAGGAAAUUGUGGUCCAUGGAAAAGAUGAGCAGUCAAUUUACCGCGAUCUCUCCGUCCCCUGUCUCGAAGCUAAAGAAGGAAGUGAGCAUAUAGUUUACCAGGCUUUCGAAAUCAUGGUAGCUGAUCAACACGAAGAAGGAAAACCACUUGCCCAGUCCUUCCUCUCCAAUGACUCAAUCAUGGUGGCAAGAGAAAUGAUACGUCAAGGAUUUUAACCAGGUAAGGGACUUGGAAGUUCUCUACAAGGCAUAACUGAGCCAAUCGCUUUGCCUACCGCGGAGAAGAUUUUUGGUCUAGGCUUCCACCCAACACCAGAUAAUAUAACCUGGGCCAACAGUAGAAAACGUCAUAGAUGGGCUUUACCUCAACCCCUACUCCACUUGUACGAAAUGUUUGCGAAGCCAAAGUACAGUGAGGAAGAAGAAGACGAGACCUUGAGGAAAUUGAAGAGAUAUGUGGAGACAUGACAAAAUUAUUGUAUGAAGCCAAUAUGGUCCAGCUUGGAGAAGGCUCGAGCACUGCUGAGGUGCUCUACAUGGGACCAGAUGCCAAAUUGAAAAAUUGGUAGGCCACGCCUUUUCUAGUUAGGCGGGAGGUUCGGUAGUCCUGCCUUGCCAUCUUUUCUUCCAUCACGAGUGAUUGCAGGGUGUAACUCGGGUGUUUUUCCUUUAGUUUUGUGUCCUUUAAAUUUCAAAUGUAAACCCUGUUAUCUUACAAUUUCAAAGAAAUAAAAUCAAUAUUUCAUCGUCUACACUCCUCUAUUUUUCUGAUUUUGUUAUUUUUCUUCUAUUUCAUUUUUCUUUCAGUCCUAAUAAUGCAGAUUUAAAUAAUAUGACAUGCUCGUGGACUUCAUCCCCCGACCCGAACAUGCUGCUUACUUGUGAAAUAAUGAACCAAGAACCAGAGUAUGAUGAAGAAGAAGUUUUAAGAGAAAUCAACCGAGAAUUGGAACAUUUUGAAAAUAAACCAAAGUCGAAUUUAAAUGAUACCAAACCAGUUAAUUUGGGCGGUCCCGACAAAACUAGGGAAACUAAAAUGAGCAUCGAUGUGAAUAAGGAAAUCCAGGACUCACCGGUUCAACUUCGUUUUGAAUUCAAAUAUGUGUUUGCUUGGUCUUGUGAUGAUAUGCCUGGGCUGAGUGUUGAUUUGGCGGUUCAUAAGUUUCCCCACAUACCCUGAGUGCCCUCCAGUACAAAAAAACAAAGAAAGUUAAAACCUGAUAUCAACGAUAAGAUUAAACAGGAGAUCACAAAACAGUUAGAGGCGGGAGUAAUCCGGGUAGUUCGAUACACCACAUGGUUGGCCAAUGUCCUGGUACCGAAGAUAUAUGGGAAAAAUCGAGUAUGUGUAGACUACAAAGAUCUGAACAAGGCGAGUCCCAAAGACAACUUCCCUUUGCCCAACAUCCACAUCCUUGUUGACAACUGUGCCAAGCACGAGAUACAGUCCUUUGUAGACAGGAUACCACCAAGUGUUGAUGGAUGAGGAAGAUGAUGAGACAACUGCCUUUACCAUGCCUUAGGGGACUUAUUAUUACAUGGAUAUGCCCUUUGGAUUAAAGAACGCCGGGGCAACGUAUAUGAGGGCUAUGACCACCAGUUUCCAUGACAUGAUGCAUCAGGAGAUAGAAAUAUAUGUGGACGAUGUGGUUAUCAAGUCCAAGACUCAGUGUGAUAAUGUACGAGACUUAAGAAAGUUCUUUGAAAGGCUUCGCAAGUAUGAUUUGAAAUUUAAUCAAGCCAAGUGUGCAUUCGGGGUCCCGUCAGGCAAACUUCUAGGAUUCAUCGUCAGCCGAAGGGGUAUUUGAGCUGGAUCUAACCAAGAUAAAAUCCAUUCGAGAGCUACCUUCUCCAAAAACCAAGAAGGAUGUAAUGAGCAUUUUGGGAAGACUAAAUUACAUCAGUCGAUUCAUCGCCCAUCUCACUUCUACAUGCGAGCCCAUAUUCAGACUAUUGAAAAAGAACGCAGCAAUUAAAUGGACCAAUGAGUGUCAAGAGGCUUUCGACAGAAUCAAAGAUUACCUGUCCAACCCACCAGUCUUGGUCCCGCCGGAACUGGAAAGGCCAUUGAUUCUUUAUUUGACAGUCCUUGAGAACUCUUUUGGUUGCAUCCUAGGGCAGCAUGACGCCACGGGAAGGAAAGAGAAAGACAUCUAUUACUUGAGCAAGAAGUUCACCAGUUACGAGGCCAAAUACACGCUGCUAGAAAGAACCUGUUGUGCCUUGACCUGGGUGGCCCAGAAGUUGAGGCAUUACUUGAAAUACCACACCACCUACCUCAUAACUAGGGUGGACCUGUUGAGGUAUAUAUUCCAAAAAACGAUGCCACAGGGUGAUUGGCAAAAUGGCAAAUCUUGCUCACCGAGUUUGACAUAGUCUAUGUCAGUCGUACCGCAAUGAAGUCUCAAGCAUUAGCAGAUCAUUUGGCCGAGAAGUCAGUUGAUGACGAGUAUCAACCGUUGAAUAACUAUUUCCCUGAUGAAGAAAUGAAUUCGGUGGAGGUAACAUCUGACGAUAUCUCUGCUUGGAAAAUGUUUUUCGAUGGAGCAGUAAAUGCGAAAGGCGUAGGAAUUGGGGAAAUUUUAAUCUCACCAAUUGGUCAACAUUACCUGGCUACAGCAAGGCUCCGAUUUUUCUGCACCAACAAUACAGCUGAAUAUGAGUCUUGCAUCAUGUGUAUGAAUAUGGCCAUUGAGCAAGACGUUGAAGAAUGGUUAAUCAUGGGGGAUUCAGAUUUGAUCAUCGGCAGGACCAAGGAGAGUGGGAAACAAGAGACGUCAAACUCAUUCCCUAUCGACAACAUGUGGAGGAUCUUAGCAAACGGUUCACGUCAGUACAAUUCAGGUACAUUCCUUGUUGUCACAAUGAGUUAGCAGACGCGCUCGGACUCUGGCUUCAAUGUUGCCUUACCCUGGAAACGCCUACGUCGAUCCUUUGGAAAUCCAAAUCAAGGAAAGGCAUGGGUAUUGCAAUGUGACCGAGGUAGAAUCCAACACCCAGCCUUGGUAUUAUGAUAUCAAGAAAUUUAUGGAAACACAAAAGUAUCCCGAGCAGGCUACCGGGGAGCAAAAGAAAACCAUCCGACGGCAUGCGAGUAGUUUCUUCUUGAGUGGUGAUACCUUAUACAAGAGGACCCCAGAUCUCAACCUUUCUAAUAUGUGUUGACGCCGAGGAAGCCGGGAGGAUUAUGCAUGAGGUACAUGCAGGAGUGUGUGGACCUCAUAUGAACGGGUAUGUACUGGCAAAGAAAAUACUUCGGGCAGGGUAUUACUAGAUGACCAUGGAGAAAGAUUAUUUCAGCUUCGUUCGGAAAUGUCAUCAAUGUCAGGUGCACGGUGAUUUAGUUCAUGCACCGCCAACCAAAUUGCAUCCUAUGUCAGCACCCUGGCCAUUCACUACCUGAUGCAUGGACGUCAUUGGGCCAAUUGAGCCAAAAUCCUCAAAUGAACAUAGAUUCAUAUUGGUUGCUAUUGACUACUUCACUAAAUGGGUUGAAGCCAUCACACUUAAGUCCGUCACCAGAAAGCCGUGGUAGACUUUGUGAAUUAGAACAUCAUUUGCCUCUUUGGUAUUCCUGCAACCAUCAUUACAGACAAUACGGCCAAUCUAAACAAUCGUCUGAUGGGAGAAAUAUGUGAACAAUUCAAGAUAACACAUAGAAACUCCACUCCUUACAUGCCCAAAGUCUAUGGUGCCAUCGAAGCAGCUAACAAGAACAUCAAGAAGAUUUUGAGAAAAAUGAUUCAAAACUCAAGACAAUGGCAUGAAAAGCUGUAUGUUACAUUGUUGGGAUAUCGCACCAUAGUGCGCACAUCGAUAGGGGCAACUCCGUAUUUACUUGUCUAUGGGACUGAAGUUGUCAUACCAGCGAAGGUAGAAAUCCCUUCGCUCAAGGUAAUUGUCGAAGCAGAAAUUGAGGAUAGCAAAUGGGUUAAGACUCGGUCGGAGUAGUUGUGAUUAACUGAUGAAAAACGAAUAGCUGCGAUUUGUCACGGGCAGUUGUACUAACAAAGAAUGGCCCGCGCUUACAAUGAGAAAGUGCGCCCCAUGAUUUUCAAAGUCGGACAGCUGGUAUUGAGGUGUAUUCUCCCUCACCUUCAGGAAGCUAAUGGAAAGUUUUCUUCGAAUUGGAAAGGUCCAUUCAUUAUCAGAAAGAUACUGCCUAAAAGAGCAUUGUACCUGGGUGACAUUGAAGGAGACGAGCCUGAGACAGCGGUGAACGCAAAUGCAGUAAAAAGGUAUUACGUUUGAACUCCCUACCGCAAUGAUUUCGGCCGGCUAAAAUGACGAAGGCUUUUCUUUCCCGCUACCCUAAACACUACCAAUCCUUCGCAAACCCCUCGAGCCGAUUACGUUUCUUUGUUCAGCCUCUUUGGAACCCAGAAUUUCUAUUCAAUAUAAUUUUUAAGAAAAGAGAAAAAUAAAAGGAAAAAUAAAGAAGAAAAAAAAUGAUGAAAACAAAAGAGACAACAAACAAUUUAGUCUAGGAAACACUCCUGAACUACGUCUGACUUGAUUCCGAAAGGAUACGUAGGCAGCCUCAAAUGGCUAUUCAAAAGAGAGAUGAAAAAUGAAUUAAAAAAAGAGGAAAAACAAAACAAAAGAAAAGAAAAAAAAGGAAAAAAAAGAGAAAAGAAAAAUGAAUGAAUGAAAACAAAAAGAAACAACAAACAACUCAGUUUAGGAAACAUUUCCUGAACUAUGUAUGACUUGAUUUUGAAAGGAUAUGUAGGCAGCCUCUCCCAGAGGUUCAGUCAUAUCUAAAUAAAACCCAGUUUCCAAAAAAUAAAACUAGGCCUGAGAUGUAAUGGUUCGGCCAUAAACCCGCCAGAAUGGUUCCAAAGUUGUAAUUUUCCAUCCCACUCCCUACCCAAAGAGCAUGGCCCAAGUUCUUCCGAUCAAUUGGCCAAAGCAGGUACGUAACAAACAUCAUUGUUGAGAUUUGGCACAACUCAGAUUGAAAGAAAUAAAAUAAGAGAGUCUUAUCGGUGAAAGCCUUCGGGCACCAUAAGGCGACGACGAGUAGAGAAAAUAAAAAUGAGAGAGUCAGUUUAGUGAAAACUUGUAAAAGAGCAGUAAUGGGCGAAGGGGGAAGAGAAAUGAGAGAGGCCGAUUGGCGAAAACCCGCAAAGGGCGCCAUCGGCGAGAAUGAAAGAUUAUCACCAUCCAAGCCCAAACGAGUUUCCAUGGUUUUUGAAAGAUUGAAAUAUGGAUCACAAUAAGCAGAAAUGGAUCUGGGCCGGCAUCUAGUCCAAGAAUCAUGUCAUUUCUAUUUAAAGUCAACACGCAUCCCCAGGUAAGUCCUUCUAUUUUCUCCAAAAGGGAAAUUUCUCUCUAAACCCAUAUGUUUUCUCUUGUUGUUUCCCCACUCCCUUUUGGCUUAACUUUGAUUUCCUGACUAUUCCCUAAGAGAAGGUGGUAAGACCGGUCUCACAGGUUUUCUCCUGGCAAGAACCAAAAGAAAUAUCUGGUAUCAGCAAGCGCAUUUAGCCAAUCCCAUCUGACCAUGACAGCUGAUGCUUCAAAACCAGGAAAGUAGAAAGAAAAGAAAUUCAAAGUCGAGAGCCCACAAAGAAAAAUGAAUAUUAGAAAGGUUAAGUCCGAGCGGGCUAAUUGUUCCCACAAAGUUCUCAAAAAAGGCAGGCCCCCCGAAGUGGAAACCGGGACAAAAAACCAAUCUGAAAGAUGACGAGCCUCCAACCAACUUACAAGGCAAAGUCGGGAAGUCAAAGGUUUCUCCCAAUAGGAAUGAGGCCAGGAUCAAGCAAAUCAAGGCCACAAAUCAAUCACUAUUCGAACUAACAAAUCAUGUUUUGAUUGAAAGUUUGAAACAUUCGUAAUCCAAAACAAUGGGGACAAAUGGAAAAUGCAAACAAAGGAACGGCGCAAAGGCUAAGAAUAGUCUUGCACCAAUGAUGAACAAAAAGGGAAGUUUUCUUUACGUUUUUUCCUAUUGUUUUAUAAAUAAAAAGAGGAGAAAAAGAAAGAAGGGAGAAUCAUAAAACAUGAGAGCAUAGGACUUCGAUCCCUGAAUCCUUCCCCAGAUCUAUGGCCACAUCCCUAAUCUUCCCCGGCACAACCCAAGGAUUGCACUCCACUCUCCUCAUCAUAGAAUGAGAAAUUUUCUUUCGUUCAUUCCCCGGCAUAACCUGAGGGCUCCGCUCUAUGUCCCCACUGUAAGCUAAGGAACCUUUUUCCUCUCUCUCUCUCCGUCCCCAGCAUAACCUGAGGGCCCCUCUUCUUCCUUUUUUUACCCAGCAUAAUCUGAGGGCUACAUCCCUUCUCUCCAUAGCAUAACCUAAGGGUUUUUCCUUUUAUUCUCUAUCCCCAGCAUAGACAGAAGGAUUUCUGUGGCCUUUCACUCCCCACCAUUCCCCAGCAUAACCUGAGGACCUUUCUCCUUUCCUCCUCAAAAGGAGUCUUUCCUUUCAAGCCCGGCAUAACCCGCAGAUCUCCCUAGCAAAACCUAGGAAUUUUCUCUUUCCAAUCCAGGCAUAACCCGUGGAUUUCCCUAGCAUAACCUAGGAAUUUUCUCUUUCCAAUCCCGGCAUAACCCGCGGAUUCCCAUGGCAUAACCCAGGAAUUUCUCUUUCCAAUCCCGGCAUAACCCGUGAAUUUCCCUAGCAUAACCUAGGAAUUUUCUCUUUCCAAUCCUGGCAUAACCCGCGGAUUCCCCUGGCAUAAUCCAGGAAUUUCUCUUUCCAAUUUCGGCAUAACCCGCGAAUUUCCCCUGACAUAACUCAGGAAUUUCUCUUUUCAAUCCCACUAUAACCCGUGGAUUUACCUAGCAUAACCUAGGAAUUUUCUCUUUCGAAUCCCGACAUACCCGCGGAUUCCCCUGGAAUAACCCAGGUUUCUCUUUCCAAUCCCUGCAUAACCGGUGGAUUUCCUGAACAUAACCUAGGAAUUUUCUCUUUCCAAUCCCUACAUAACCCGUGGAUUUCCCUAGCAUAACCCAGGAAUUUCUCUUUCAAAUCUCGGCAUAACCCGCGGGUUCCCCUGGCAUAACCAAGAAAUGUUUCUUCUUCCAAUCCCGGCAUAACCCGUGGAUUUCCCUUGCAUAACCUAGGAAUUUUCUCUUUCCAAUCCCGGCAUAACCUGUGGAUUUCCCUAGCAUAACCUAGGAAUUUUCUCUUUCCAAUCCCGGUAUAACCCGCGGAUUCCCCUGGUAUAACCUAGGAAUUUCUCUUUCCAAUCCCGGCAUAACCCGUGAAUUUCCCUAGCAUAACCUAGGAACUUUCUCUUUCCAAUCCUGAUUUCCCUAGCAUAACCUAUGAAUUUUCUCUUUCCAAUCUCGGCAUAACCCAUGGAUUUCCCUAGCAUAACAGAGGAAUCAUUUUUCAUUUCAUCCCGGCAUAACCCGUGGGUUUUUUCUUUCAACCCCAACAGGGACCUUUCAUUCCCAUCCCUGCAUAACCCGUGGAUCCUCCUCUUGACCCAACAGGGACCCUUUCUCCUUCCCAACAUAACCUGGAAAUCUUUCCAAAGGAUAUACAAUCCUGACUUUUGUUAUUUCCAAUAAAGAAAUAUCUUAGAUUUGUGUUGCAAAUAGCUCACGAAAUUUUCCAAUGAAAACUGGGGCAAAAAAUUUCGUUUGUUUGUUUGUUUUGGUGUCUGAGCAGGUUUUACCUCAAGGCAUAGGAUUCGAAAUGACCGAAAGCGUAAGUCUCAGUCCAGAAUAAAGGAAAAUAAGAAAAGAAUAAAAAAGAAGUGAAUUCAAAAUGUUGAAACAGGCAAGGAUGCGGACAACUCAAAGUUUGAUUGAAGUCAGAAGCCUCGUAUGUCCUGCUCUAGUCCAAUGCUGAAACAAAAACCAUCACCUACAGCUUGCGAGCAUCAAGAUUCAGAUCGAGGUCUACAGCAAAAUCAGAUAAGACUCAAGAUCAUGAUUCAAGAGAUUUAUAUAUAGGAAUCUAGUAACCCGUAGUGGAUAGGACUACCUAGCUUAGCUUUUGAUUUUCCUUUGGUGUAAUAAGGGUUCAGCAAGCAGUAGCAGCAACAUCAGCAGUGAAAUCACAGCUCGUGGUAGUCCCAGCUACCAAACACUCUAGAACUAAACUAACCCGAUUCCUUUUUUAGCCAAGGAUAUGUAGGCAACCUUCGAAGCAAGGUUCGGUCGGAUAUUUUUCAAAAUGCUUUGCACGGAGUAUUCAAAAGGGCAAAAAAUCGCUCGUAUUUGCUCACUUAUCUUUGCACGAAAACUCUUUAUGUUUCUGAGAAAAGAGGGGUAGCUGUGAGCAUGUGAUUUCUGCCCUGUAUGAAUUACUCCAAUAAUUUCAAACAGAACAAUUUCGUUCCAUUAUUUUUAAAUUUUGUUGAUUUGUGCUACAUUUUCUGUUAAUUGUGUGCACCCUUAUCCAUGCAUUUUAAUUCAUAUGAACAUACAAAAUAUGCAUUGCACUUAGGGUUUAAUUUACAUAUUUUGGAAUUAAUUAGUUAUUAGGAGUCUUACAAAAAAUACAAAAAUCACAAAAAAUAAUUUUUUUGGCAUUGUUUAAUUUGUAGUUUCGAAUUUGCAAAUUUUUAUUUUUAGUAUUUGAUUAGUUUAUGUGAUUUGUUAGUUUAAUUUAGUUUUUAGGAUUAAUAUAGUGUUUAGUUUAAUUUUUAAAUAAGAGAAUUAAAAUAAAUUAGGAAGAUUUGGAAUAAAAAUUAAAAAAGAAGAAUUGAAAAAAGAAAAGGAUUGGGAUUAAAUUGACUGGGUUGGUUUCAUUUAAAGCCCAAACGAAACCCACCUAAAACCUAUUUCAAUAGACCCAAACCCAUAGAAUUACCCGGUACAGUCCCUACCUCCUUUAAAACGAUGGUCAUUUUGGUUUUUAAAAUCCAGGGCGUCGAGGUUUUGCCAGAUCAACGACCAGGAAUUGAUAGGGAAUUAAUAUAAAAGUGUCUGAAUGACUCCCCCCUCUUUUCGUCUCCCACACCACCUUAAUACACUAACCCUAACACCACUACCUUCCGCCAGCGGCGACUAACCAAUACCUCCCAAAAAUACACCCCUAAACCUCCUUCCUCUACUCUAUCCAAAUCUACAACCCCUAUUCCCAAAAGCCUCACCAUGUCCUCGAAUAUUCAAACCAGUGGUCGCCGUCGCCAUCGCCACCCACGGAGGCGCCAACUUCAAACCCUACCGAAUCAACACCCCUGAACCACCCUCCUCUCCUCUUUCUAAACUCCAAACCCCAUCCCUCAAAUCCUCGCCCAUCUUUUCGAAUAUUAAAUCAAAGAUCCGGCCAAAACCCUUACUCUUCCAAAUUCAACCGAAGUCACACCCUAUAGCCUCCUUGACCUCCCCAUCCCGAAUCUCAAACUGAACAUCUUCAAAUCUAAGUGGAAGCCCACGAAUUUCAGGUCCAGGGUUUGGAACUUUUAAUCUGUUCUGAAGUUGCAAGCAUUCGAAUGAUUUUCAAUUAACAUUAUGGUUUUAUUUUUGAUAAAAUAGACAUGUAACAUUAACUGAAAAUAAUUCUUUAGGAGUCAGUCUAAAAGAAGAAUAAACCAGUAAGUUUUUUGAUGCCUGAUCCUAUUCUCACGAGUUUUUUAUUUUAUUCGAAUUCUUGUUUUGAUUUUGUUCAUGGUGGACUUGUAUCUUGUGGUUUUUGAUUUAUAGUUUAAAUUCUGUUUUGAUUCAUCAUGUUUUGUGAUUUUUUUGUUUCAGUUCUAUUUUAAUGUGUGUUUUGUUUCAAUUAAGUGUUUGUUUCUAUUGGUAUAGGCUUUGGUUUUAUUUCUUUUUAAUCCUAUUUAAUCAAUCAUGUUUAGUGAGUUGUUUGGUUUUAAUUUUCGUGUUUGAUUUAAUUAGUAAUUUCUUAUUGUUGUUGUUAGUUGUUUGUUGGUUGGAUAUAUUUGAAUUAGAAUUCUUGAUUUAACUAUAGUCAAACUCUGGCUAGUAGGAUAAGAAUUAGGGUGUAAUUGUUUAGGCCAAGUAAUUGAGGGGAAAGGACAAGGGCAAUAAGGGUAUUUGGACAUGGGAAUCUUGUAACAGACCCCUGAAACCUUUUAGUUGGAGGUUCAAAAACUAAAUUCUGGUAAUUUUCUAAUAAGACUUGAGGCACAUGCUAGAAAAAUGAGGGACUAAAUAAACAAUUCUGAGAAAUAGGAAAGGAACUAGUGUAUAAAACACAAAAGAAAGGGGUUGCCCUAAGUUGGGGUUAUAAAUAGGCAAAUGAGUGCCUUCAUUAACAAGGCUGAAAAUCCUUGAAACCUUCCCAAGGUUUAAUGUCUAAAAAAUCCUGAUAAAUUCCCUAAAAUUUCUAGAAUUUCCAGCUCUAAAAUUUCCCCAAAGCAGUCCUAGUUCCAUUUCUACAGUUUAAAUUCGAAACAAAAAUAAAAAAGGUUAUUAGUUUGAAUAUCUGAAAGUUUUCCAUAAAAACUAGAUUAUUUAGAUCCUUAGGAGCAAUAACAAAAACAAAAACUCCAAAACAGGCUAUUCUAUUGAGGUUUUGGACCAAUUUCGAGUCCUAGAGUUUGAUUUACAUCAUUUAGUCUAGAGUUUGAUUGCUGAAGUUUUUAUGGAAGUUUUCUGGGCUAAUUCCAAGUGUGUUGAGUUCCAUUGAUCAUACUUUGGGUUAUUUUGUUGGUUGCUGUUCAUCUGGCUUUUUUCCUGGAUUGAAAUGAUAUAAAUGUUGGUUUGAUUGUGGUGUUACUGCUGAUUUAUCACUGCUGGUUGCUGACUCAAUCCUACUGACUCCUUUUCUUUUUAUUUGGCCUUAACUCAGGUACGUUUUCAAAUCUCAGGUGUUGUAAGAGUGAACACAUGUGUAUGGUUAUUUUUUCAAAGAAGAAUAUUGAAGAACACCUUUGCUUUCCUUGAGUUAUUUGAAGAUCUUCUAAUUUGUAUGUUUAAUCUUACUUCAACAAUGUUAAUUAGACUAUUAAUAUUUUGUAUUAACUGGACUGUUUGUUUACAAAUAUUUAGUACUUGAACUUGUGCUAAUGUAGCAGAAUUCAGUAGUGGUGUUAAGUUCUAGCGAAUGAGCCAAUAUGUAGAUAAUUUGAAGGUUUUUUAUGCAGCAUGAUUGGACUCGGUAUUAAGUUUACUGAAGUUGAUAAGUUCCACCAUAUUUAAAUUGAUUUCUUAAAGUUUGGGUUGUCAUAAUUCUUGGAGUUUAGACAUUGAUGUAUACCUAGAUUUAAUAUGGUACACACGCUAUUGGGCUAGUCACAAGCCCAAAACAAUAGGGUCAUGGUCACAAGACAAUGAGACAAUAUAUUUGGGCCCCCUCAACGGCAUUCCCAGGCCUGAGCCUAAAUGCCUUUAGUUAACUCAAUUGAACCCAAGAUGAGAAUACCCUUAUAUUACAAACUUUAUAAGAAUCCAGCAAUGCACAAAGAUAUAUUACACUCCUAAAGGAUAUUGAGUUGAGGAAUUGGAAUCCCAGGUCUGUGUGGUUGAAUAAGAGUAGAGGACUUAUGAGGUUAAUACCAUGGUGACUUAAAUCUCCCUAAUAGUUUAACAUAUAUACGAGGGAUAGAGGCAUGAGACAUAUAUCCCUAAAGUUGCUAAAUUCAAGACUUGUACCAAAAUCCAGAACAUUCACCCUAAGAGGGGGAGGAAGGGCCAUCGUGAGGCCACUUAAAUAGAAUGAAGCAAGAGUGAGACCCCGUAGGUAUGAUGUUUUGAAGAUUUUGUUGAAGACACAUAGUCUAGAAAAGAGGUAAUGGGUAACAUGACUCUAUAAAAAGAUAUGAUAAUGAUAGACAACUAGUAUCCCAAGGAGGUGGAAGGUUAAUGAAGGUAAAUUAUUUACACAUGGCUAUGUGAAUGAUAGGGUCAAUGAUCCUAGAAACUAAGAGUGAUGUUUGUGAAGGGAUUUUAUACUUGUUAGAAGGUCAGGAAUAAUGGAAUCUAAGGAAGUACUAUAGGUCAAAGUGAAAGAUUGCGAGUUUUUAGGAUGGGUUAAUUAUAUAGUUGCGAUUUAAUCAAAGUUCCAAGGCAUUAAGAAAGGUGGAACGAGUGAGAUAAAUAAAUACGAUGCUGAAAUAACCUAAGAGGGUAUUUGGGCUCGAUGUAGAGCCUAUAAAGAAUCAUACAAACAAAGAAGUGUUAAGUGAUAUACAGAUAAACACCUUUACCCACGGAUAUCCCAAAAGAGGUGAGCAGGAUGAAAUAUAACAUGAAGAUGAGCGCAUGUCUCUUCCCCGGCUGGGAAGAAUGAGGCGAGAAGAAAUGGGGAGAAAACCUAUAGAUUGAGAUGGUCAUGGUUAUCAUAAAAUAUCUGACAUCAGAAUGGUGGACUCGCUUAGAGCAUAGGUGUUAAUAAAAGUUAUAAAGGACCAACUAUAAUGCAACCCACUUAGGUGACACUAAACAUCAUCUGAAGGAUCUAGAGAUAGUUCAUGUCUCCAUAAAAUGGAAAGUGAGGCUACCGAUGGUGAAGUUGUGGUAUGAUAAACUAAUUAAACUAGGCAUAAUGAUAUUAUAAGUUCAUGGGAGACAGACAAAUGUGUGGAACAAUAAGGCUAUUAACUAUGCAUUAUACUUAGAGUAUAGGUGUUAAUAAAAGUUAUAAAGGACCAACUGUAAUGCAACCGACUUGGGUGACACUGAAUAUCAACUAAAGGAUCUAGAGAUAGUUCAUGUCUACAUACAAUGGAAAGUGAGGCCACCGGUGGUGAAGUUGUGGUAUGAUAAACUGAUUAAAGUAGGCAUAAUGAUAUUACAAGUUCGCGGGAGACAGACUAAUGUGUGGAACAAUAAGGCUAUUAACUAUGCAUUAUGCAACAAAAGGCAAAUGAAAGGUUUGAAAUAGAUUAUUGUCCAAGACAAAGGGUGAUCAAAAGGGGAAAGACAACCCAAUCUACCCAAAAGGCAAAUGAAAGUUUUGAAAUAGAUUAAAAGGGGAUGAACACUUGUUAUAGGCCAGACAUGUUGAACAUGGUAACUUCAAAGCCGUAAUAUUAUGGAACUCUAUUGGAAGCUACAAUACGGGGAAAGAGGUGAUCUAUUCAUUGAGGACGGAAUCAAGUGGACUAAGUGUUGCACCUAAGAGUAAUACCAAAGGUCGUUGUUGAAGAAUUGGGGAGGAUCUAAAGUUUUAGAGAAUGCCCCUCUCAAGCCAGUGACUCUUCCUAGAUUGUAUACAUAUAAAGGGUGUUGAUAUGUGUUUUGGGCAGUGCUUAACCAUAAAGAAGGAUCGUGAGAAUAUUCAUUGGGAAAGUAGUGCGGUUUCUUAAAUUCUAUAAGGCACAUGUAGGGAAAAGAGGUUGGCUAAGAAAAGUUGGAGCACAAUGUUACCUUACAUUUGAAGAAGUGUCGUGCAUGUUGUCGUUAGCAGGGUAUAUGUGCAAGUUAGCAGGUGUUAUUCGACAGAAGUUCAUAUGAGAAAACUCGUUUAGCAAUGUCUUUUGUUGAGAAUUUGGAAGAGUUAGUUGCAAGUAUUUACAAGAUAUUGUAACCAUAUCAAGGAAAUUAUAGUAGAACUCAAUUCAUAGGAGGUCUUAUGUAACAGAAAUAUGAUAAAGAUAUUCCACUAAUGAUACAAUGUGUUAAGGUGAAAGUUUAUGUUGCUUGGAAACUCAAGUAUCAUGGAAUGAACUAUGCAGCGCAUGACUUAGGUCAUACAACAAUGGUGUUUGCACUAAGAUUUGGCGACAUUAUUUGUAUAGGGUCUAUGUGGAUAUAGUCACAGACCACAAGAGCCUUCAAUAUAUUUUUAAAUGAAAGGAAUUGAAUCUGAGGCAAAGAAGAUGGCUCGAGUUACUCAAGGAAUAGGAUAUGAAUAUCUCUACCACUCGGGAAAGUCUAAGGUUGUGGUGAUCUUAGUCGGAAGUCUAUGGGUAGUUUGGCUUAUUAGGGAGCGAUCAGAGGCCCUUGGCUCGGGAGGUUUAUCAAUUGGCCAUUAUGGGGGUUUGUAUUUCGACCUCGAGCGAGGGGAAUGUUAUGGUGCAUAAUGGAGCAGAAUCGUAACUUAAAGCGGAAGUCAAGGAAGGGUAGUUUAUUGAUCCAGCAUUGGCAUAGAUGAAGGAGGCAAUUUUGAAUAACAAGACUUCAAACGUUUUCACUCGACGGAGAUUAUGGUAUAUUGCGAUAUCAAAGUAGGCUAUAUGUUCCACAUGUGGGUAAUCUUCGGGAGAGGGUAAUGGCCGAGGCUCAUAGUUCCAUCUAUUCUGUGCACCCAGGUUCUACGAAAAUGUAUCAUGAUCUCAAAGAAAUUUAUUAGUGGAACAACAUGAAGAGGGGUGUGGUGGACUUUGUAUCUAAAUGUCCAAAUUGUCAGCAAGUAAUAUGGAAAUACCAAUAUGUAAGUGGCAGAUGAUCAACAUGGAUUUCGUGGUAGGGUUACCUCGCACUCAGCGUAAGUUCUACUAAAUUUGGGUAAUAGUGGAUCCACUUACGAAAUUAGCUCACUUCUUGUCAGUCGAGUCCAUCGAUACUAUUGAAAAAUAUGCUCAGUUGUAUAUCAAGGAAAUAGUAAGACUUCUUGGCACUCCACUUUCUAUUAUCUCAGAUCGAGGGGCCCAGUUCACCGCUAAUAUUUGGAAGAAAUUUCAGCAAGUUUCGGUACUCAGGUGAAUCUAUGCACGGAUUUCCAUCCAAAACCGAUGAUCAAGCGGAGCGAACUAUUUAGAUGCUUAAUGAUAUGUUGCGGGCUUGUGUCUUGGAUUUCAAAGGUAAUUGGGAUGAUGACUUGCCACUUAUAGAAUUUGCUUACAAUAAUAACUUUCAUGCUGGUAUUCAUAUGGGCCCAUUUGAGGCAUUGUAUGAAAGGAGGAAUAUGUCUCUAAUUGGAUGGUUCAAAGUGGGUGAACCAGGAUUGAUUGGGCCAGAUCUCGUGCACCAGGCUAUGGAAAAAGUUAAAGUCAUUCAGGAGAGGAUGAAAACUGCUUAGAGUCGCUAGAAAUCCCAUGCGGACAUUCGUCGAAGAGAAUUGGAAUUGCACGUAGAUGAUUGGGUGUUCUUGAGGGUAUCUCCUAUGAAGGGAGUCAUGCGAUUUGGGAAGAAAGGGAAGUUGAGUCCUAGAUAUGUCGGGCCAUAUCGGGUCGCUCAAAGGAAGAGUGGCUUAUAAGCUGGAAUUACCCCCUGAAGUGUCAUUAGUGCACAUGGUGUUUCAUGUGUCUAUGUUAAAGAAAGUGGUUGGAGAUCCAUCCACCAUCGUGCCAGUUGAGACUAUAGAGGUUAGUGAAGAGUUAUUGUAUGAAGAAAUUCCGAUUGAUAUUCUUGAUAGGCAAGUCCGUAGAUUGAGAAACAAAGAAAUUGCUUCAGUUAAAGAAUCAUGGCAAAGUCAACAAGUCGAGGAAGCCAUGUGGGAAACGGAAAAUGAAAUGAAAGAAAAGUAUCCCCACCUGUUUGAAUAAUUCUAGUAGUGAUCGUGCGAACUCUUAUCUCUAAGCAAACUGAUGUUGUGUUCAAUUUGGUGCAAAGACAUCCCAUUUUCCCCUAAAUGCUUUACUAUUUUAACUCCUCAAGUUGUGCAAGAAUUGUAUGUGUUGUGAUUAUUUGAUUCAUGUGCAAUCCCUUUUGAUAAAUGAAAGUUUUAUAAAAAAAAAACUCAUGUGAUAAGUGAAUAAUUAAUGGUAGUGUAGAUUGGUAAUAAUUAAUUGAAAUGCAUAUAGUGUUUUGAAGUGGUUGAACUGUGUGGGACUCAUUGAACUGACCAAAUUAAGUGUAAAAAUGUGACAAGUAAUUGAAUAUGUUCAAGUGUUGAGGUAAUGAAUUGUAUACCCAUUGUAGGGAUAAUAGGAAUUGUGUAAUGGUGCCUGGAAAUUAGUUUUGGGGGCUCUUUGACAGGUAGAUAAGACAAAUUAGAAAGGAGACUCUGGCAAAAUGUUUCUAAAAAUAUGGUAGUUAGUGAAAAUUAGGAGUUUGCAUAUCAUGUUUUCAAAACCAACUGAUUUCCAAAAUCCUCAUUCGUGGACGAGCGGUUUUAAGUGGGGGAGGAUGUAAAGACCUGUAAAAACUUUCCUGCUUAAAAUAAUGUCAGCUAGGUCCCUAUGUUGUUAUAACUGUAGAAAAGUACCCCAGAAUUUGAAAGAUAAAAUUUUCUAGAAAUUGGGCGUAAUGCGACGCACUAUGCAAUCGCAUAACGAGUAUGCGGACCACAUAAUGGUUGCAUACUUGGGCAGGCCACUCCCCAAUUGGAGGAAAUCUAUGCGGUCCAGAAAGCGAUCGCAUUUUGGUUUUGCGGACCACAUAAUUAUUGCAUUUUUGCCCAUUGACUUUUGGUGAGGGAGGUUAUGCGGUGCACUAUCCGAUAGCAUGACAUGUAUGCGAACCGCAUAUUGAUCGCAUACCUGCACAAUGUGUUUUGAUUUUGGCCUAUUUUUGAGGGCCAAUCUGCGACCGGUCUGCAAACUGCAUGUCAGGAAUGCGAUCGCAUUCCUGACCCCAUUCCGUGUUGGGGCUCCUAUUUUUAUAAUUUUUCAACCCAACCCUUCUUCAAUAAAACACCCAACCCUUUAUUUUAACACAUUUUCUGAACAAAACUAGAGAGAGGGAAGAGAGGAUUCUUGAGAGAGAAAAUCUCAUCUCUAUCAAUUUGAUUUUUAAAAGUCACCCAGGCUUGGAAAUUUUGAGUAAUUAUCUUCUUCUUCUUCAAAUUUAAACAAAAGGGGGUUUUUUCAUGAAUAGAUUCUUGAAAAUAUAAGUUGAACCAUGAAUGCAUGUUCUUUAAUACCUAAAAUCUAGUAAGAGGAAUUGGGUAGGAGUAAAGAUCUGCAAAAAGGAGGGGUUGGUAAUCUAGGUGGGUUCGGGUUGAAUUUGUAAAUUUCAACUCUAAAAUAUAUGUAAUAACUUGUGAACAAGAUUGAAGGUACUAGGCCGUUGGUGAAUUGAGAGUAGAAGUUAAAAAGGAAAUUUGACUCCAGGUAUGUAUGACUAACUUUAACCUUUGUAAAAUCACCCUAUUUGGUGUACGAGUAAUUGGUAAGUGUUACUUAUGUGGACUAUGUGUGAGUUUUGGUUGUUUCACAGGUGUUAAGGCAAGAUGGCCUAUUUCAUGAAUUCUUGUGAUUUAUAUGCCUUGAACAUUGUUGGAUAUAUGUUCUGAUAUGAUGGUAUCAAUAAAUGUAAACAUACCAAGUGUGUGUGUGAAUGUGUUUAUGUGGUAAUGGUUGUGUAAUAAAUGAUGGAAAUAAGUCGUAAUUGAUGCAAUUGAAACAACACUGGUAAUAUCAUGUGUGGCUUGUCGUGGGCUAUUAUCGUUGUGACAUUAAUUGUAUACAGGCUGUUGGAUAUGAUGGAAAUGGUAAUGAGGUUAAUAAAAACUCAUUGUGAAAUUUUUAUUAUUGUUGUGAAAUGAUAUUCUGGAUGGCCUGAAGCCAUGUGAUUGAACUGUGAACUAUUGUUGUUGUCUGAAAUAUGGUUGUUCGGUAGGAUUGGGUUGUGCCCCUCAAAACAAAGUUAUAAGGUGUGGCCUGUAUUGAUAAGGGUGGCCGAGGUAAUAAGGGUGGAAUGUGAUCACUAUUGAAAUAAAAGUUUGUGUAAUCUUGGAUAUGAUGAAAUGAUUUAAAGGGGAGAUUGUGAAACUUGUUAGAUUUGGUUGUUUCUUUUAUGUGCAUUUGAUUGUUGAUUCUAUUACUUUUUUCUCUUUGUGUAUUGAUUUAUUUUACUUGAGGUAAAGUUUGUUCAUAUAUACUAGUACAAUUCAAAUGUACUAACGUCCCUUUUGCCGGGGGCGCUAUAUUCUUGUUAUGAUUAUAGGUGGUUCUAUUGCAGGUACUCCAGUCCAUCGACAGUAGCACUCCUCCACUUUCUGUCAGCUAUAUUGGUGAGCCUUUUUCCUCUCGGGGCCCUUCGUGGCUCAUGCUUCUUUUCUUCCCGGAGUCUUAUUUUGGUAUUUGUGUAAGGUAUAGCCGGAGCCUUGUUACCGGCUAGUAUUAUAACACUCUUUUGUAUCCAUUGUGGCUCUAUAGAUAGGAAACAUGUGUUAUGUACUUAUGUAUCUAGGCAGUAUAACUUGUAGAUCACGUAAUGUAAUCAUGUAUGUUAUUAUGUCUCGUAAGAAUGUGUUUAAUUAUAAAUGGUUAUUUUACUUGAAUAAUGAGUAUAUAAAUCACGGGGUAACACGUGAGAUAAGAAAGGCACCCAGGUCCGCUUAACUGGGGCUACCCGGUCAAGCGCCGAUCGCGUCCCUCGGUUUUAGGGUGUAACAGAUGCCACAAAAGAGGAUUUUGCAUUGACCAAAGAUUAGCUCCAGGUUAUGAGGGAAAAAGAAAGAGAAAUAAGUCAUUGUCCAUUCCUUUAAUUGGUGUAAUGUCAUUUGCAACUUAUCCAAGCAUCUCCGUAUCUGGUCCUCUUUUACUUCUAGUGUCCCAUUGACUUGGUUAAAAACAAGAAAAGAGUCACACAAUGUUUCAAUCACCUCAUCCCCCAGGCUCUUUGCCCGUUCUAAACCUGCAAUUAUAGCCUCAUAUCCGGCUUCAUUAUUAAUCAAUUUCACAAUUCUAAUAGUUUCCUUUUUACGUUACAUGUAGGUGAUUUUAAUAUGAUUCCUAAAAAAUCGUCUGUGAGUAGGGUCCAAAACCCUAAGCUAGUCACCGAGAUGAGUAGUAAUUCUUUUUCAACCUCGGGGAUCAAGGCCGACGUAAAGUCGGCUACGAAGUCUACCAAAAUAUGAGAUUUUGUAUCAAAUCGAGGUUUGUACUCAAUAUGAUACUCGCUGACCUCUAUGGAGCAUUCGGCUAGUCGACUCGAGAGCUCGAGUUUGUGCAUAAAAUUCCUUGGGGAUUCGAGGUCACUACACAUAGGGGUGACAUUGAAAGUAUGGUCAUAGUUUCCUAGAUGCACUUAAUAAACGAGCGCUAAUUUCUCUACGUGUGGAUACCUUAUUUCAGAAUCGCCUAGGGUUCUACUAACAUAAUAGAUAGGAAAGUGUGUACCUUUUCUUCCUGGACCUAUACACCACUUACCGCUAAUUGGAGACUACCAAGUAGAGGUAUCACUGCUCGUUCGCCUUCGUGGUGUGUACGAAAUAAGGGCUCGAUAGGUAUUGCUUGAGUUCUUCCAAAGCCCGUUGACAUUUCAGGGUCUAAGAGAAGUCGUUCUUCUUCUAUAAUAAUGAGAAACAUUGGUGGCUUUUGUUUGAUGACCUUGAAAUAAACCAACUCAAUGCAACUAUCCACCCGGUCACUCUUUGUAUCGCCUCGACGUGGUCAACUAUGGUGUGAUAUUCUACGGCUUUUAUAUUUUCUAGGUUGAUAUCUAUUCCCCAAUUAGACACCAUGAAGUCAAGGAACGUGCCUGAGCCGACUCCGAAGCACACUUCUCCCGGUUAAGUUUCAUAUUGUAUUUUCUCAGUAUGCCGAAGGUAUACUGGAAAUGAUUCAAAUGGUCCUCUGCUCGCAUUGACUUAACUAAUGUAUUGUCAAUAUAAAACUUCAUUAAUUUUCUAUUUCUUCUUCACACAUUCAGUUAACUAGGCGUUAAUACGUGGCACUGGUAUUUUCUAACCCGAACAACAUUAUGUCAUAACAAUAGGUGCUGAAUUUAGUUGUAAAAGAAGUCUUAUAUUGAUCACCUAGGUCCAUCUGUAUUUGAUUGUACUCAAAAUAGGCAUAAAAAAAUUCAGCGUCUCGUGCCCAGCCGUUGCAUCGGUCAUUUGGUUGAUGCUAAGCAAAGAAAACAAAUCCUUUGAGCAUGUUUGUUUUAAGUCCUUGUAAUCUACACACAUUCUAAGUUUGUUUCCGUUUUUAGGUAUGACCAUUACGUUAACUAGCCAACACGGGUAUUUGAUUUCCCGAAUGGAACCUAUUUUGAGAAGUUUGGAUACCUCACGUUUGAUGAAUGCAUGUUUUAUUUUAGACUACAACCUCCUCUUCUAUUUGACCGAGUGGAAUUUUGGAUCUAAACUUAAUUUGUAAGUUGUCGCCUCUGGAGGGAUCCUUGUCAUAUCUAAGGGGGACCAGGAAAAAUGAUCGGUGUUAGCUUUAAUAAAAUCAAUAAUUUUUUCUCGAGCUUGGGGCUUAACCCCGUGCUAUAUUAUACCUUUAUGUCUGACCUGCUACAAUUCAUCGAUUGUUUAUUUUGUGGCAUCAAUAUCAUCGGGUGCUAUGAAGUAUCUCGAGACCCAGAAAUCAUCUUCCUUAUUCGUUGAGUGGUCUCUCUGUUUCUCCAUCAAGGUCGGGGUAGGACCUGUGAUUUCUAGAUGGUGCCUUUCUCUUCGACCAGUUCCCCACCUUUUGAUAUUUUGGCUGCAUGCACUGUGAUCACCUCCUCAGCGUGAACAUCUUCUGUACUGUCACUUGUUUUCCGUAGACUAUUUUAAUUUUGCUUGGGGUGGGAAAUUCCAACACAUGAUGGAAGGUCGAAGGCACCGCUCUCAUGCUGCGGACCUAUGGUCUCCCAAACAAGGCAUGUAUCCAUAUCCCCCUAAAUUACAUAAAAUUUUGUUUCUUGGGUGGUCCUCCCAGUGUUCACUAGUAGGAUUAUUUCGCCUUUCAGUGUCUCGGAUGCCAUGUUGAACCCAUUUAAUACUCAUACUGCUGGUACGAUUUGGUCCAAUAACCCUAGUUGUUCUAUGACUUUCCAUCAGAUGAUGUUGUCCAAGCUACCUAGAUCAAUCAAUACGCGCUUAACUUGAGAUUUGUUAAUAAAUACAGAUAUUACCAGUACAUCAUUGUGAUGUUGAAUGAUUCCCUCAAUGUCCUCCUUGUGAUGGAAAAUUUGGUGCGCUUAAUCAUCAUCCCUUAUGGGUUAUCUACUCCCCCAAUAAUCAUGUUAAUCACGUGUUGUGGUUCUUCAUGCUCAGUUUGUUUGUUGGCAUCCCUAUUUCUAAAAUGGAUUUUGGCUGUCUCCCUUAGGAAUUCCCGAAUAUGUCUAUUGUUGAAUAGACGAGCCACUUAUUCGCUUAGCUGUCGACAAUCCUCAGUCCUGUGGAUAUGAGUACCGUGGUAUUUACAUAUCAAGUUGUGAUCACUCUUUGUGGGAUCAUACUAGAAUGGCCCUGGCCAUUUGGUCUCCUUGAUGCAUUCGAUGGCCGGCACUAUACUCACUGCAUCAACAUUGAAGGUAUAUUUCGAUAAACUCGGGGCUUCUCUACACCCGAGCAAUUUGUCGAAACCAUUCAUACUCAUCAUACCUCAGUUUCUAGGACCUUGGUUUCUUCUCCUGUCGGUCCUGGUCGGGUGGUGACCGAGUCCGUUUCCCAUUCUAUUCGAGCUGUAUGGUUGAUAUCGAUUUUGUUUUGGCCUUGUCUCCUGAUCCAUAAUUCUUUUAGACUUGUUGUUCACUCUGUUAGGGUAAACAGACCCCGAGGAGGCCGCAGCUAGUCAUCCUCGGCUCUGAUCUUUGACUGAUACCUCUUAUGAACAUCGACCCAAAUGAUUGUCGGGUACUCUACCAAGUUUUGCGUCAAUUAUGAGAUGGAAUGGAACUUAGGGAAUUGAGUCCUUGAGUUAACUCAUGAACAACCCAAUUAUAUUCAAGUGGGGAUAGUUUCACGCCCUUAACCAUAGCAUGUGCAUAACAAAACACUCGUUGCUUGACUACACGUGACCGAGAGAACCAACUGGAUGGCUGGAUCAACAUAUGGUAUAGCUGUAAGCUGAAUAUAAACAAGCAACAUGUUGAUCUACUAAAAAGUCUGACUGAAAUAUCAUAAAUGUCGAAAGUACUGAAAAGUCUGUAAGUAUAAACGAGUAGACGAUAAGGCUAACACAUAAAAGCCUGCUAACAUCUGAUUGACUGGACAAUAUUCUACGAAGCCUCUAAGAAUAGUGAAGUACUAACUGUUUAUCGGGACAAGAUCCUAGCGUACCUUGCUAACUGUAAUACUAUAAAGACUAAAAAGAGAGAUAAUGUCCCGAAAGACUUGGGCUCACCAAUAGCUGAUACGAGAUGUCCUAGCAAGCAGAAUCGUUAACCUGUAAAUCAUUACCUGCGUUACGAGAUGCAUGCCCCGAGCAAAAAGGCACAUCGGUGCAUUUGAAUUGCAGUGGUAUGUAAAACAACUAAAAGAAAAAACUGCAAAUACUAAAACUGCAACUGAAUUGACAGUGGAUAGCUGAUAACUGGACUAAACAUAGGAAGUAAGGAUAUGAAUACUCCCUCUUCUGAAUGACGAACCACCUUUUUAUCUGAAUAAACAUAUUAUGGAAUCAGGCCUAUGUGUAUGUGUAUACAUACAUACAUAUAUAUAUAUAUAUAUAUACAUACAUACAUAUAUAUAUAUAUAACAGACCACAACACCAAAGAAAGCUAUCAUAAAAGCUGAACCCCCUUGCUUCCCAUUUAUCUUUAUUUCCGACAUAGGUUAGACCAGUGUUCGGCUCUUCAAAACCUCGUGGUUUACCAUAUCGAUUAUACAAAAACUGGAGUGUGCAAUAUAUAUGUAUAUAUAUAUAUGCACAAACUACAGCCUCGGGCCUAAGUAUACGUAUACAUAACUGCGUCCUCAGGCCCAUAGCACCGCGAAAGGAUCUUUCAUAGGCCUCUAUGGUGCGCGACCAAUAGCCAUGGGCUCUCUCAACCUUGGUGGAUUAGUUGGAUCCCACACUACAAAAGCUACUUUGAGCACAUACAUCUAGGUGGUCUUGUUCAGUGCUAAGUCAUUGUACAAAAACUGGAGUGUGCAAUAUAUAUGUAUAUAUAUAUAUGCACAAACUACAGCCUCGGGCCUAAGUAUACGUAUACAUAACUGCGUCCUCAGGCCCAUAGCACCGCGAAAGGAUCUUUCAUAGGCCUCUAUGGUGCGCGACCAAUAGCCAUGGGCUCUCUCAACCUUGGUGGAUUAGUUGGAUCCCACACUACAAAAGCUACUUUGAGCACAUACAUCUAGGUGGUCUUGUUCAGUUCGAAUCUCUUGGGAGGACUCAAUGUCAUUUGCUUUUCCUUGCGGCCCCAUGGGACAUAGAGAACAUCAUCUUUGGAAGGCGUUGCCCCAGUUUUUGCCUUAAUUUUCUUUUCUGAUAUGGCUUGCGUGGCUUUGUUCUUUUUGGCUUUUUCUCCAUAUCAGCAAUGGCAAUUAUCGCUUUCAAUGCCGGGUCGAAUUCCGUAUCUUCGCAGAUCAUUCCGAUUACCGUCCCGUUGUUGUGGGCCGACAGUGGGUUGUUGGUCAUGUUGGGGAUGUCCUCGUCCCUUAACAAAAUCUUCCUUUGUUCUAUCAAAUGCUCCACGGCUCUUUUCAAGGUCCAGCAGUUUUCUGUAUCAUACCCCGCAGCUCCUAAGUGAUAGGCGCAUCGGGUGCCCUGUUGGUAAGAGGGUGAUUCCAGGUUUUGCCUGUUUGGAGGUACAGGCUGCAGCAUGACCAUUUGGACAAGAUUUGGAAAAAAACUGGAGUAGGAUUCACCGACUGGUGUAAAAUAUUUCCUCCUGGGUGGUUCACGAAGACAUAAGUUAAUUUGUGGAGGAUUGGGGGUUGUAGUGGUUUUGGUGAGGAGGCUGGUUUCUUGGGAAUGGGGCUUGGUUCCUGUUGGCUUGUUGCUGAAGCCGGACAAAAGGUUGAGAAUUCAUGACCGCGUACAACUAAUGGUGCGUAGGCCAUGUCCUGGUGAUGGUAGUAAUGCUGAGGAGUUCUUUCUGGGAACAUGGAUCUGGGAGCACGGUGUCACUUUGCACUUGAUGCUGCCAUGGAUGUUUCUUAUUUCUUCUUGCCCUUUGCUACUCCUCCAGACCCGACCUGAAUGGCUUGGGAGGUUGCUUUGAUAGCAGAUUGGCAUAGAAUUCUGCCUGUUUUAAAUCUAUUUUCCAUUAUUUCCCUGAUUUUGAUAGCUUCCGCAAACGGUUUACCCAUAACCGACAUCAUGUUCUGGAAGUAGUUGGCUUCCUGAGCUUGGAGGAACACUGUGACCAUUUCGACCUCGUCCACCGGAGGCUUUACUCUAGAUGCUUGUUCACACCAUUUGAUUGCGUAUUCCCAGAAGUUUUCCGAGGACUUUGUUUUCAUGUUUUCCAAUGAGUUUUUGUUUGGAGCAAUGUCUAUAUUGUACUGGAAUUGUCUGACAAAGUCUCUAGCAAGGUCGUCCCAAAUGUGCCAAUGAGAUAUGUCUUGAUCCAUGUACCACUCGGAGGCAAUACCAACCUAACUUUCUCCAAAAUAGGCAAUGAGUAAUUCUUCCCUUCCUCUGGCCCCUCGCAUUUGAUUGCCGUAUUUCUUGAGAUGAGUAAUAGGAUCAUUUUUCCCAUCGUAGUUUUCAAACUUUGGAGUUUUGAAUCUCAAUGAUAAGUGCACAUGGGGAAACAUGCAUAGACUAGGAUACGAAACACUUUUCUGUCCGCUCAAACCUUGGGUGUUUUUGAGACUUUGUUCUAUACUCCUCAUCUUUCUUGCAAUCUUUUGUUGCUCAGGAGUUUUGGGAGUCUUUUCUUGUCUCAGAGUGAACUCAAAUUAAGGUGGUUGAGGGUAGGUAUAAAUGGUGAAUUGAGGAGGCUCCAUUUGCAGGGUAGGUGUUUGGAAUGUAAAGGUUGAAGGAUCAAAAGUGGGCCUAGGUAGUGCAGGCUGUGUUGUGGCCGAGCAUGGGGGAGCGGUGAAAAUGUUUGGGGCCGCACUGGAUAUGAAUACCUGGGGGCGAACCUCAGAGGGUGUUCCCACGAUAUGAGCUGAUAUAGUAGGUUGUCCGAGUGGGAUGUUUAGGCGGCUGAUUGGGACAUUGGAGGUACCACUUGUUCUAGGGAAAAGUUCGGGGAAUACCGAGAUUGUACUUAGUGGAUCUCUUCCAUUUGCCCAAGCAUCCCACAUUUCCAUAACCCUAAGACACAUGAUUCUGUUCUCUUCAGCAGUUGCCUAUUCAGAGGUCAGGAUGGCGGAGAUAGGGCCAUCAUCUGCAAUGAGAACCAUUGGUAGUGUCAUUUCUGAAGACAUUUUGAUGCUCCCUUUUGAUCUAAUAAAGUAUGGGUGUGAAGCCAGAUUAACACGAAAACUAGCCACCAUUUUAUAAAACCCUGGACUGGAAGAGACAACAACACACGGUUAGUUUGUGACAAAUAACAUAUAGGUAAUCGCAUGUUGAGGUGUGAUGCACCUAUGUAUUUACAUGGGUUUCUACAUGUUUUUUGCAACGAUUGCAUGCUUCGUCAUGCUUUUCCUUACUCUUUCCCCUUGAUUUUACUCUUUUUUUU